rnacentral:tRNA from 2 species
GCACCCUUAGCUCAACUGGAUAGAGUACCUGACUACGAAUCAAGCGGUUAGAGGUUCGACUCCUCUAGGGUGCA